GGGGCUGAUUCUGGAUUCGACGGGAUUUGCGAAACCCAAGGUGCAUGCCGAGGGGCGGUUGGCCUCGUAAAAAGCCGCAAAAAAAUAGUCGCAAACGACGAAAACUACGCUUUAGCAGCUUAAUAACCUGCUUAGAGCCCUCUCUCCCUAGCCUCCGCUCUUAGGACGGGGAUCAAGAGAGGUCAAACCCAAAAGAGAUCGCGUGGAUGCCCUGCCUGGGGUUGAAGCGUUAAAAUGAAUCAGGCUAGUUUGUUAGUGGCGUGUCCGUCCGCAGCUGGCAAGCGAAUGUAAAGACUGGACUAAGCAUGUAGUACCGAGGAUGUAGGAAUUUCGGACGCGGGUUCAACUCCCGCCAGCUCCACCA
rnacentral:tmRNA from 6 species